GGGUAAGCGUGGGCCGGGGGCGGCGGGAGUGCGGAGGGUGCGGGCGUUGGCGGGAAUCACGGAGCGUAAAGGGCGCGUAGGCGGGUCAGGAAGGUGACGGGGGAAGCGCGGGGCUCAACCCCGGGUCGGCCGUGGCAACUGCUGAGCUGGAGAACUAUAGAGGCAGGGGGAAUUCCGGGUGUAGCGGUGGAAUGCGUAGAGAUCCGGAAGAACACCGGUGGCGAAGGCGGCCUGCUGGGCAGUAGCUGACGCUGAGGCGCGACAGCGUGGGGAGCAAACAGGAUUAGAUACCGAGUAGUC
rnacentral:rRNA from 1 species